rnacentral:rRNA from 1 species
ACGUAGGUUGCAAGCGUUAUCCGGAAUUAUUGGGCGUAAAGCGUGCGCAGGCGGUUUGUUAAGUUGGAUGUCAAAGCCUUGAGCUCAACUCAAGUCAGGUAUCCAAUACUGGCAAGCUGGAGAUAGGCAGAGGUAAGUGGAAUUCUGUAUGUAGGGGUAAUAUCCGUAGAUAUACAGAGGAACACCAAAAGCGAAGGCAGCUUACUGGGCCUUUUCUGACGCUCAUGCACGAAAGCGUGGGGAGCAAACGGGAUUAGAUACCCCGGUAGUCCACGCCCUAAACGAUGAACACUAGGUGUUGGAGGUCUCGACCCCUUCAGCGCCGCAGCUAACGCAUUAAGUGUUCCGCCUGGGUAGUACGAUCGCAAGAUUA